rnacentral:rRNA from 1 species
GACAGAGGAUGCAAGCGUUAUCCGGAAUGAUUGGGCGUAAAGCGUCUGUAGGUGGCUUUUUAGGUCCGCCGUCAAAUCCCAGGGCUCAACCCUGGACAGGCGGUGGAAACUACCAAGCUGGAGUACGGUAGGGGCAGAGGGAAUUUCCGGUGGAGCGGUGAAAUGCGUAGAUAUGCGGAGGAACACCGAUGGCGAAGGCAAUCCCCUGGGCCUGCACUGACGCUCAUGCACGAAAGCGUGGGGAGCAAACAGG